ACGUAGGAUGCAAGCGUUGUCCGGAAUCACUGGGCGUAAAGGGUCCGUAGGCGGUUUGUUAAGUCUCCUGUGAAAGUCCAGGGCUCAACCCUGGGAUGUCGGGGGAUACUGGCAAACUUGAGACUGUCAGAGGCAAGUGGAAUUCCCGGUGUAGUGGUGAAAUGCGUAGAUAUCGGGAGGAACACCAGUGGCGAAAGCGGCUUGCUGGGACAGUUCUGACGCUGAGGGACGAAAGCGUGGGUAGCAAACCGG
rnacentral:rRNA from 1 species